UACAGAGGGGGCAAGCGUUGUUCGGAAUUAUUGGGCGUAAAGAGCUCGUAGGCGGCCUGUCGCGUCGGUUGUGAAAGCCCGGGGCUUAACCCCGGGUCUGCAGUGGAUACGGGCAGGCUAGAGUUCGGCAGGGGAGACUGGAAUUCCUGGUGUAGCGGUGAAAUGCGCAGAUAUCAGGAGGAACACCGGUGGCGAAGGCGGGUCUCUGGGCCGAUACUGACGCUGAGGAGCGAAAGCGUGGGGAGCGAACAGG
rnacentral:rRNA from 1 species